rfam:Ruminococcaceae bacterium D16 genomic scaffold acsPy-supercont2.2, whole genome shotgun sequence.
AAUCGAGCACAGGGGCGCUGGAAGCUUUUCCGGCUGAGAUGCAAAGGCGAAUAGGCCGCCUUCGGUCCCUUAAACCUGAUCCGGGUAAUGCCGGCGUAGGAAGUGAACGGAAUGUGGAC